rnacentral:rRNA from 1 species
GCGCGUAGGCGGUCUGUUAAGUGUAGAGUGAAAUCUCCAGGGCUCAACCCGGAAACUGCUCUGCAUACUGGCAGACUUGAUGAUUGCAGAGGUUUGUGGAAUUCCCGGUGUAACGGUGAAAUGCGUUAAUAUCGGGAGGAACACCCAUGGCAAAGGCAGCAAACUGGGCAAUAUCUGACGCUGAGGCGCGAAAGCGUGGGUAGCAAACAGGAUUAAAUACCCUGGUAGUCCACGCCCUAAACAAUGGAUACUAGGCGUAAGAGGUAUCGACCCCUCUUGUGCCGCAGCUAACGCACUAAGUAUCCCGCCUGGGGACUACGGCCGCAAGGUUGAAACUCAAAUGAAUUGACGGGGACCCGCACAAGCGGUGGAGCAUGUGGAUUAAUUCGAUAUUAACCGAAGAACCUUACCCAGACUUGACAUCGAUCGCAAGCCUUAAAAAUAGGGCCCUCUCUCACAAGGAGACGUGAAGACACUUGUUGCAUGGCUGUCGUCAGCUCGUGCCGUGAGGUGUACGGUUAAGUCCGCCAACGAGCGCAACCCUCGUCCUGUGUU